rnacentral:rRNA from 1 species
UACGAGGGGGGCAAAUGUUGUUCGGAAUCACUGGGCGUAAAGGGAGCGUAGGCGGGUGUUUAAGUUAGGUGUUUAAUCCUGGGGCCCAACCCCAGUCGUGCACCUAAAACUGGACAUCUUGAAUAGUGGAGAGGUCAGUGGAAUUGGGGGUGUAGCGGUGGAAUGCGUAGAGAUCCCCAAGAACACCAGUUGCGAAGGCGGCUGACUGGACACAUAUUGACGCUGAGGCUCGAAAGCAUGGGGAGCAAACAGG